rnacentral:rRNA from 1 species
GACGAACGCUGGCGGCGUGCCUAACACAUGCAAGUCGAACGGAGAUACGAUUUCGGUUGUAUCUUAGUGGCGAACGGGUGAGUAACGCGUGAACAACCUGACUCUCAGAGGGGGAUAACACUCGGAAACGGGUGCUAAUACCGCAUAAGACCACGACCCGGCAUCGGGAUGAGGUCAAAGGAGUAAUCCGCUGAGAGAGGGGUUCGCGUCCCAUUAGAUAGAUGGCGGGGUAACGGCCCACCAUGUCGACGAUGGGUAGCCGGGCUGAGGGGGUGAUCGGCCACACUGGAACUGAGACACGGUCCAGACUCCUACGGGAGGCAGCAGUGGGGAGUAUUGGGCAAUGGGCGCAAGCCUGACCCAGCAACGCCGCGUGAGGGAAGAAGGCUUUCGGGUUGUAAACCUCUGUCCUUGGUGACGAAACAAAUGACGGUAGCCAAGGAGGAAGCCCCGGCUAACUACGUGCCAGCCGCCGCCGUAA